AAGUCGUAACAAGGUCUCCGUAGGUGAACCUGCGGAGGGAUCAUUAACGAGCAAGGGCGGAAACGCCCGACCUCCAACCCUUUGUUUGCGAAACCCCGUUGCCUCGGGGGCUUCGGCCCCCGUCGGGCCACCAAACACUGCAUCUUUGCGUCAGAGUAUAUUUAUCUAAUAAAUCAAAA
rnacentral:misc_RNA from 1 species